UGCUUACUCAGUUUAACAUGUGGGUAUGUUUAUAUAGGCAUAAGAUUGGAUUAAGAAGACUUUGAUAUGACUACGUCUUUGGUGGGGCGAUUUCUUGGACUAGAAUACAAAAAAGGUAAAGGUUCCGUGGCGACCAAGAUGUGUGGAACAGAAGCCGAGGCUAUGUAGGUGCUUAUAUGCAACCAAAAGUUCUCUCUACAGUGGUGGCUGCUGUCGUUGUUUUAUGAAUUCCAUGAAUACUAUUUUUCUUUACUUAUUGUUGAACUUUUCUACUUUGAAUGAUCACUAUUAAUGGUUUUCUUUCUCAA